rnacentral:rRNA from 1 species
UACGGAAGGCAGCAGUAGGGAAUCUUCCGCAAUGGACGAAAGUCUGACGGAGCAACGCCGCGUGAACGAAGAAGGCUUUCGGGUCGUAAAGUUCUGUUGUUAGGGAAGAACAAGUACCAGAGUAACUGCUGGUACCUUGACGGUACCUAACCAGAAAGCCACGGCUAACUACGUGCCAGCAGCCGCGGUAAUACGUAGGUGGCAAGCGUUGUCCGGAAUUAUUGGGCGUAAAGCGCGCGCAGGUGGUUCCUUAAGUCUGAUGUGAAAGCCCACGGCUCAACCGUGAGGGUCAUUGGAAACUGGGGAACUUGAGUGCAGAAGAGGAAAGUGGAAUUCCACGUGUAGCGGUGAAAUGUGUAGAGAUGUGGAGGAACACCAGUGGCGAAGGCGACUUUUCUGGUCUGUAACUGACACUGAGGCGCGAAAGCGUGGGGAGCGAACAGGGAUUAGAUACC